CGCUGGCGGCGUGCCUAACACAUGCAAGUCGAGCGGAGUUAACAAGAGGAAGUUUCGGAUGGAAUUUGUUAAUUUAGCGGCGGACGGGUGAGUAACGCGUGAGCGACCAACCUUGCACAGGGGGAUAACGGACCGAAAGGUUCACUAAUACCGCAUGAGACCACGGUGUUGCAUGACACAGAGGUCAAAGGAGCAAUCCGGUGCAAGACGGGCUCGCGUCCGAUUAGGUAGUUGGUGGGGUAAUGGCCCACCAAGCCUAUGAUCGGUAGCCGACCUGAGAGGGUGAUCGGCCACAUUGGAACUGAGAUACGGUCCAAACUCCUACGGGAGGCAGCAGUGGGGAAUAUUGGGGCCAAUGGGGGAAACCCUGACCCAGCAACGCCGCGUGAAGGAAGAAGGUUUUCGGAUUGUAAACUUCUGUCCUUGGUGAAGAGAAGAAGACGGUAGCCAAGGAGGAAGCCCCGGCUAACUACGUGCCAGCCGCGGC
rnacentral:rRNA from 1 species